UGGCUAUAGCUAAAUAAAUCGAUCGAUAGAUCUCAGAAGUUUACUGGUCAAUUGUAAGAUUUUCAUCUGUGUCAAUAUAUCUGCUUACCGAACUUCUUAAUUCU